rnacentral:rRNA from 1 species
UACAGAGGUCUCAAGCGUUGUUCGGAUUCAUUGGGCGUAAAGGGUGCGUAGGCGGCGCGGUAAGUCGGGUGUGAAAUCUUGGAGCUUAACUCCGAAACUGCAUUCGAUACUGCCGUGCUUGAGGACUGGAGAGGAGACUGGAAUUUACGGUGUAGCGGUGAAAUGCGUAGAGAUCCGGAAGAACACCGGUGGCGAAGGCGGCCUGCUGGGCAGUUGCUGACACUGAGGCGCGACAGCGUGGGGAGCAAACAGGG